CGAGGAAUAUUGCACAAUGGGCGGAAGCCUGAUGCAGCAACGCCGCGUGAGGGACGAGGGCCUUCGGGUCGUAAGCCUCUUUUCUGAGGGACGAGUAAGGACGGUACCUCAGGAAUAAGUCUCGGCUAACUACGUGCCAGCAGCCGCGGUAAAACGUAGGAGGCGAGCGUUAUCCGGAUUUACUGGGCGUAAAGCGUACGCAGGUGGCUUCGUGAGUCGGACAUGAAAGCUCCUGGCUUAACUGGGAGAGGUUGUUCGAUACUGCGGGGCUUGAGGUUGGGAGAGGGACGUGGAAUUCCCGGUGUAGUGGUGGAAUGCGUAGAUAUCGGGAGGAACACCAGUGGCGCAAGCGGCGUCCUGGCCCACACCUGACGCUGAGGUACGAAAGCGUGGGUAGCAAACAG
rnacentral:rRNA from 1 species